UACGAAGGUCCCAAGCGUUAUCCGGAUUUAUUGGGUUUAAAGGGUGCGUAGGCGGAUAAAUAAGUCAGUGGUGAAAGCCUGCAGCUUAACUGUAGAAUUGCCAUUGAUACUGUUUAUCUUGAGUACAGCUGAGGUGGGCGGAAUAUGACAUGUAGCGGUGAAAUGCUUAGAUAUGUCAUAGAACACCGAUUGCGAAGGCAGCCAC
rnacentral:rRNA from 1 species